UACAGAGGGUGCGAGCGUUGUCCGGAUUUACUGGGCGUAAAGGGCGCGUAGGCGGCGUGUUAAGUCAGCUGUGAAAUCUCCGAGCUUAACUCGGAACGGUCAGCUGAUACUGAUGUGCUAGAGUGCAGAAGGGGCAAUCGGAAUUCUUGGUGUAGCGGUGAAAUGCGCAGAUAUCAGGAGGAACACCGGUGGCGAAGGCGGGACUCUGGGCCGAUACUGACGCUGAGGAGCGAAAGCGUGGGGAGCAAACAGG
rnacentral:rRNA from 1 species